AUGGCCUACCCCGCCGCGGCCGCCGCCGCGGCCACUGCCUCCAGCUUGUCAAACGGCCUCUCCAGCAUCUUCUCCCCCUCCCCGCCAACCGUAAAACCACCCAAAGCCGAGCCCGACGCGGACCAGAUCCUCCGGAAGCCCCUUCGCGGUGUCCUCAAGGCCUUCAUCAGGCAGCGGGACCCUGAUAAGCUGGUCUCCAUGUUCGUCCAAGCUUCGUCAGCAUCGCCGCGCUUCGGCGACCGGCACGACCUGUACGAUGCAGCGGUGAGCCGCCUCACUUCCUUCGGCCGCCCAGACGGCAUCCAGGCCAUCAUCGACGCGCAGAAGCCCUUCCUCGAGACCUCAACCGCGGAAUUCGCCGCGCGCCUCAUCUGCCUCUACGGCCGUGCCUCCAUGCCAUCCCAAGCGGCCGCAACCUUCCAUCAACUUCCCGCGCGGCAUAAGUCCACGAGGACAUUCAACGCCGUCCUUGCCGCGUACGCCGAGGCCGGAGAUCUUGACGGGCUCGCUGUUGCAUUCCAGGACAUCCCAGCCACUCACCCCUCCAUUGUUCCCGACGUGUACUCUUACAACGCACUCAUCCGCACAUUCUGCCAGAAGUACGACCUCUCAGCGGCUCUUGAUGCUGUUCAUCUCAUGAAGAAGCACGGUGUUUCACCUGACAUUAUUACUUUCAACUCGCUCUUGGAUGGGUUUCACAACAGUGGCCGUAAUGAGGAAACCGAGGCAGUAUGGGAAAUGAUUAAGGAGAGGAAUUUGGAGCCAGACGCAAAAUGCUACAAUGCAAAGCUGCGGGGUUUGGUUGCAGAAGGUAAGAUUGAUGAUGCAGCUGCUGUGCUUGAGAGGUUGGAGAAGGACGGGCCAAAACCCAAUAUAGUAUCCUACAAUGAAUUGAUUCGAGGAUAUUGCCAAGCAGCGAGGUUCCAGGAGGCCAAGAAGGUGUAUGAUAAUUUGAUGAAGAAUGAGUGUGCCCCAAAUAAGGUGACA
rnacentral:rRNA from 1 species